GGGUUAUAGCUCAGCUGGGAGAGCAUCUGCCUUACAAGCAGGGGGUCACAGGUUCGAGCCCUGUUAACCCC
rnacentral:tRNA from 1 species